UGGAUCGCUCCUGUGGCUUAGUGGUUAGAGUGGUCGCCUUGGAUGCGGGAGGCAGCGAGUUCGAAACCCGGCCGAAUUAUACUAA